rnacentral:lncRNA from 1 species
CAAACAAAACAAACAAACAAACAAACAAACAACCAAGAAAGCAUUCUGAAGAGUGCUGGAUUCAAAAUCAGACAGACAAAGCUUCUCCUCUAAGCCGCAUUUCCAGGCAGCAAAGAGAAAUUGAGUGGAAAUGCAUAAAUUGUUGCAAACAAAUGUCUCAUUCAAGAGAGAUUUUCUCAAGAUACCAGGCUCCAUAUGAGGUAGCUGGCCAAGUUCUGCAACUUGACUCUGAGAGCCUGCUGUCUCCACUGAAUUUGAUUAUGUGCUAUCAGGAGAAUCCAUCUACUGCCUGCAGCUGUCGAGCUCCUCUCCUGGGUGAGCCGGGAUGCCUAACCUGAUUAGCAGACAAAGUAGAGCUAAUGGGCUCUAGGGCAAUCAUUCAGGGAAACUGAGAUGCUGUUCAGGGCUUAGAUUUUCUAGACUUUCCCAAGGAUACAAACAGAAAUCUAUUUGAGGAGGGCUCAGCAGGCAAAAUUCAAGACUUUCAAGUAAUGCAAAGAAUAAAGCAAAGGGGGCUGAAACUAGGGAGGAAAAAACGUCUCCUUCAUUUGGGAUGUACUUCUUAUUUUUCUCUUAUUUUGUUUAUUAUGUCUCAGACAUUGUGUUAAGUGUUUUAUAUGCAUUAUGAUUUGAUCCUCAUAAUAACCUUAUGAGCUAGGGGCUGUUAUCCCUUUACAUAGAUAAAAAAAUUUGAAGCCAAGAGAGGAAAAAAAAAAAAGAUUCCCUGAGGUCACAAGAUCAGUGAGCAGCAGAUCCUGUAUUAAGCCUAGGCCAGUGUGGCUCAAAAGCCUGUAUUCAUAAUCCCUACAGUAUCUUUCCACUCCCCUUUUCCCCUUGCCAUCCAACUUACAGCCUUACCUUCUACUUCCAGAAAAACCUGAUUUUAUAGUACUCUCUUGCUAAAAACCUUUUAAGCAACUUCCUAUCCUCACAUUUCAGUUUGGCCCACAAGGCUUCCUGUGAUGGCCUUGUGAUUCCAGCAUCAUCAUCCAUUUCACCCUCCUUGAAACCUUUGCUUUGUUUAUAUUCAACUACUCAUAACUCCCUAACACAAUUUUGUGCCAUACCUUCAAUAUCUCUAUGUUUUGUGCUCGAUCUUUCCUCUACCUGGUCUGCCUUCCCCACCAUCUUGCAUACUUGGUGAAUUCCUACUGAUAGAUGAGGCAUAUAGUCAAUUGUCAACAAAGGUUUAAAUAUUUCUUAAAUGAACAAAUCAAUGUAUAACUGACUACCCUUUAACACAGCUCUUCUCUAAAGCCUUCCCUGACUAUUGAGUCUUCCUUAUUUUUCUCUA